rnacentral:lncRNA from 1 species
AGGAAACAAAGAAAGGCUGGAAAAUCCCAAAAUCUGGAGUGUAACUCCAGCGCGGCUCUGCGAUGCAGCUCGCAGCGGCUGUGACCAUCCCCACGGUGCGGAAGGACAGUCUGAAACUGCUCAUCCCAAGCAGGGUCGCGGUGAGCCGGAGCCUAACCCAGCAACACACAGUGCAUGGCUGGAGGGGGAGGGGACACACCCAGGACCGGACGCCAGUCCAUUGCAAGGCAACCCAACCAAGACUCGAACCCCAGACCCAGCAGAGAGCAAGAUCCAGCCAAACCCACUGCACCACCACACCACCGCAUCCCCCACAAAAGGAAUAGUGAGUCCAAUUAAAUCCAAAAGCCUGUUGUAACAUUUACCAGGGUCUUGUGGUGUUCAGUCCAUAGCUGCACAAUCCUGGACGCCUUUGUGUGUGACUGUGCGAGUGUGUGUGUGUGUGUGUGUGUGUGUGUGUGUGUGUGUGUGUGUGUGUGUGUGUAUGUGAGAGUGUGCACGUACUCUAUUGUUGUACUGAAAAUGACGACAGAGGUUCCAAUGACAAAUAACAAGUGACAUGCAUGAAUAGCACAAUCUGAGCAGUGAGGCCCAGAGCAAUGACUACAGCAGGUUCUUCAACUUUUAUUACACCUCUGGGAACUUAGAGAAGAACUUAAUUGGGUUUAAUUAAGACAAAAAAGAUGAAUCUGGUACUUCACUGCCUGGCCAAAGUAAAAAUGGAAAAAUUGUUCCGUCUUCAGUUAAAGUUUCCCUUGUUCGUGAUGAGUCCUGAUGGACCAAAUCAAAGGGAAAGGUCUUGGGUGGCAAAGAGUCUCAGGGGCAUUUCUGCACAUGAUGGCAAUGGAAGUGGAAUCCAAAACAAGCCAAAAAUCAGUGCAUGGUCUUGGCUGUACAGUACAAUAUAUAAAUGUAUGUAUUAAAGCACCAGGACAGAAAGUGUAGCAGUGUUUUAUCUCCAGUAUAAAAACUUGCACUCAGCUCCAUCCAUACAGGACAUCUAUUUGUCCUUUAUUACCAUGACACUUGCUCUUGUCAACAGCAUUUUUAAACUGUGUGUGUAUCUUCGUUGCAUAUUGUUUGCUGCUGCAGCCAAGUGGAACUUUCCUGUGGAUAAGUCUCUUCCAUUGAUUGAUUGAUUCAUUCAUUCAUUCAUUCAGGCAACAGA